rnacentral:lncRNA from 1 species
UGCAAGGAUGAGAGUUUUUUUUAUUUUUUCCUUUCUUUCUGAUUUUUAUAAGGCAUUAACCUUCAGAUCUGACUCUUAGGGGUUAAAUAGUGCUAAAAGGCAUUUUUUAACUCCGGCCACCGGAGGCGACGGUCGUCAUCACCGAUGACCGGUGGCAAUGACAAGGCGACGAUAGCCCCAUGGCCGGACUCAGAGAUGCGUUCAGAGAAAAAAGGAAAGAAGAG